AUACAGAGGGUGCGAGCGUUAAUCGGAAUUACUGGGCGUAAAGCGCGCGUAGGUGGUUAUGUAAGUCGGAUGUGAAAGCCCUGGGCUCAACCUGGGAACUGCAUUCGAAACUGCAUAACUAGAGUAUGGUAGAGGGAAGUGGAAUUUCCGGUGUAGCGGUGAAAUGCGUAGAUAUCGGAAGGAACACCAGUGGCGAAGGCGACUUCCUGGGCCAAUACUGACGCUGAGGUGCGAAAGCGUGGGGAGCAAACAGGAUUAGAUACCCCGGUAGUCC
rnacentral:rRNA from 1 species